rnacentral:rRNA from 1 species
UACGAAGGGGGCUAGCGUUGCUCGGAAUUACUGGGCGUAAAGCGCACGUAGGCGGCUUUCUAAGUCGGGGGUGAAAUCCUGGAGCUCAACUCCAGAACUGCCUUCGAUACUGGAGAGCUUGAGUCCGGGAGGAGGUGAGUGGAACUGCGAGUGUAGAGGUGAAAUUCGUAGGAAUUAUUCGCAAGAACACCAGUGGCGAAAGGCAGCCUGCGCUGGC